rnacentral:pre_miRNA from 14 species
AAGUGGGUCUCCGGAGAUGAGGGUUGUUGCUGAUCCUGGUGAGCCCCCAAAUGAAAGACCCCUGGGACAUGGAGACACUCACUGAAGUCUCUGGAUGACAUGACCACCCCCAAGCACUCACGUGACA